UACGUAGGUGGCGAGCGUUGUCCGGAAUUACUGGGCGUAAAGGGCGCGUAGGCGGCCCGCUAAGUCGAACGUGAAAUCCCCGAGCUCAACUCGGGAACUGCGUCCGAUACUGGCGGGCUUGAAUCCGGGAGAGGGAUGCGGAAUUCCAGGUGUAGCGGUGAAAUGCGUAGAUAUCUGGAGGAACACCGGUGGCGAAGGCGGCAUCCUGGACCGGCAUUGACGCUGAGGCGCGAAAGCUAGGGGAGCAAACGGG
rnacentral:rRNA from 1 species